AGCGAACGCUGGCGGCAGGCCCAACACAUGCAAGUCGAACGAACUCUUCGGAGUUAGUGGCGGACGGGUGAGUAACACGUGGGAACGUGCCUUUAGGUUCGGAAUAACUCAGGGAAACUUGUGCUAAUACCGAAUGUGCCUUCCGGGGAAAGAUUUAUCGCCUUUAGAGCGGCCCGCGUCUGAUUAGCUAGUUGGUGAGGUAAAGGCUCACCAAGGCGACGAUCAGUAGCUGGUCUGAGAGGAUGAUCAGCCACAUUGGGCACUGAGACACGGCCCAAACUCCUACGGGAGGCAGCAGUGGGGAAUCUUGCGCAAUGGGCGAAAGCCUGACGCAGCCAUGCCGCGUGAAUGAUGAAGGUCUUAGGAUUGUAAAAUUCUUUCACCGGGGACGAUAAUGACGGUACCCGGAGAAGAAGCCCCGGCUAACUUCGUGCCAGCCGCCGCCGUAA
rnacentral:rRNA from 1 species